UAGGCAACUGGGGUUAAGUGACUUGCUCAGGGUCACACAUCUAAGGAGUGUCUGAGGCUCGAGUUGAACCCAGGACCUUCUGACUCCAGGCCUGCCUCUAUCCACUGAGUGAUCUGGUUGCCCCCUCACUUAAUCUUCACAACAACACUAGGAGCAGGCAGAACCCGGAGCCACGGGACAAAGUUGUUGAGAUCCAGAUUUACGCGUGAAGUGAGGACAAUAAAAACCAAACAAAGCAGAGCUUCCUCAAGUGCACUGAGCUCUUGGUCACUCUUUUGUGGCUUCGGAUUUUGGCUUCCUGAUUCUGACUUUGGAUUCCGGUGAACAUUCGGCUUUCUGAAUUGGAGACUUGAACUGAAGAGGGAUGCUUACUCGGAUGAUACUCUUGUCUCCUUGGCACGAGAGACUGCUCUUUGCAUCUCGGCCUCUUUGGCAUCAGUCUUUGGUUGUUGAAAGGCCUGGCUAGGGACACUCUUGUGACUGGUGAGAUUCGCAUUCACAGUCUGGG
rnacentral:lncRNA from 1 species